CCUACGGGAGGCAGCAGUGAGGAAUAUUGGUCAAUGGACGAGAGUCUGAACCAGCCAAGUCGCGUGAAGGAUGACUGCCCUAUGGGUUGUAAACUUCUUUUGUAUGGGAAUAAAAUGUUGCACGCGUGGGAUUUUGUAUGUACCAUAUGAAUAAGGAUCGGCUAACUCCGUGCCAGCAGCCGCGGUAAUACGGAGGAUGCGAGCGUUAUCCGGAUUUAUUGGGUUUAAAGGGAGCGUAGGUGGGUUGUUAAGUCAGUUGUGAAAGUUUGCGGCUCAACCGUAAAAUUGCAGUUGAAACUGGCAGUCUUGAGUACAGUAGAGGUGGGCGGAAUUCGGGGUGUAGCGGUGAAAUGCGUAGAUAUCACGAAGAACUCCGAUUGCGAAGGCAGUUCACUGGACUGCAACUGACACUGAGGCUCGAAAGUGUGGGUAUCAAACAGGAUUAGAUACCCCGGUAGUC
rnacentral:rRNA from 1 species